rnacentral:lncRNA from 1 species
GGGAAUCAGAAAUCCCGACAAUUACAUGAUCAAACAGGCUGAGAUGACGACGUAAAUGCCUGCUUCUUAUAACCAAUCGUAGGGGAUUGAUGUUGCAUGUACACGCAGCUCUCCACAUGUAAAUGAAUGACGUUGAUACUACAGGGGGAUGAGCAGAAGGACUAUGACAGCAUUCAACAGUAACUUUCCGCUGUGCAGGUCAGAUGCGCGCUCGAACUGGACGGACUGAUGAGUGAACGGAAGCUGUGAGAGUUUAACGGCAGGAAAUACUGAAUAUAACAACAAUUAUCACGCUAAGGGAGACAAGAGGACACAAUAAAGGAUGACAGAUAUAAUGAACAACCCUGAACACAGUCGAGAAGACUUCACUGUGAGCGACAGCGGAGAGCAAGGUGUUUCAUUGCAGAUAUUUCCAGACACACAGGAACGCCACCCCAAGCUGUCCAAGCGUCUGCCCUCCAUCGUGGUGGAUCCCACAGAUGGAGGAGAGGUGGAGAGCGGAGAGUUACGUUGGCCUCCGGAUGACCAGAUGACCACAGAGCCUUCAGGCCCAACGCACACAUCUCAAGAGAUCGCGUCUGCCUCACAAACCCAGAUCUCACACAGCCAGAGCGCAGAUGAAGCCAAGUGCAGCAGCCUGGAAACAUCAGGGGCAGCUGAGCGUAACUGA